UGACGAGCCAGCCAUAAGGCUUAACACUGAAACCAAAAUUAUAUAGAAAUGUGAAGAAUGGGACCUCUAGUUGAAUGAAGAUUCCUGUAUGUUAUCUUUACACUGGAGAUUUUAAAAGUCAAAUUUGCACAGGGUAGUUUGGUUGCUGCACCCCACGGAGAAUUUCAGAAAGUAAAAGGGUAGGAAAUAAUGAUCCAGCCUUGAAAUGCCAACAUGAUGAAGGGUAUAGAGAAACAUAGGAAAAUGAUACCAUGCUAAGUGGAAAACACCCUAACAGAUAUCCAAUGCUUCUGGAUUCUGAUUUAUGGAUGAACUUGUGAAACCAUUUAAGUGCUGGAACUGGAGCAACUCAAAAUUGAUCAAACUGAUCCUGCAAUAUUAUGUAGAGGCAGGAACCAUGUGUUCCCAUGCCCCCAUAUUGCUGAAAUAAAUAUAAAUGAUUACAAGACCAGCUUGCAAUGAACUUAAGGAGAGAUGAAGAUUUUCUGCAAUUUCCUGGGUAGUAGAAAACCCAGUGGGUUGGAGGCAAAAGCUAGGUGUAUAGCCCUGGGGGCCGGGGGUGCCCGUGUGCCUAAAUCUCCUCAACUCUGAAAUGAGGGGAUUAGGCUCCAUGGUCUGGAGAUCCUGCCUUUCUGUUCUCUCAGGUGGGUGGAAGCUCAGAAUGUCAGAGGCUCAUAGUGAUCGUUGGGAUAGCUCCCUAGUGGAGUCUUAUUGUUUGAUGAACGGUCUUCUCCCAUACUGUGAUGGGAAGACUAAUAAAAGCAAUGACAAUAUAGUGUGAACGAAGCAUUUUCUCAUUUGGAAGAAAACUAUGGUCUUCACAAACUAUUUGGAAGGUCCAAAAAUAACUUGUACAAUUCAUUGAAUUUUGGAGGAAAAGAAAGUUAUGAUACAGGAGAAAGAAAGAGGUUUAAAAGUGAAGAUGAAAAAAGGUUUGUAAUUUCAUUGGCUAAAAAGGGAUCUAUUGAACAGUAAUUACGGGCACUAAGGAAGCAUUGUCUCUAGUGCAUUUAAAAAGGAGCAUCAAGGCAAAUAUGGGAGCAUGGUGUGGGGUAGUUUUUUUUUUUUUUUUUUCUUUUCCUCGGGGGAAGGGUUGCUUUAUGAAAACCAGAGGCUUUUUUUUGUGGUUUUUUAUUUUUUAAUUUUAGAAAUAAUCCUAUUUUACAUAUCAAUCCCCCAUUCCCUGGCCCUCCCAUCCUCCCAUGGCCCUCACCAGCCCCCCCCACCCCUGCCCACUCCCCAAGGAUAGUGAGGCCGUCAAAAUCUG
rnacentral:lncRNA from 1 species